AGUGACGAUAGCCUAGGAGAUACACCUGUACCCAUGCCGAACACAGCAGUUAAGCCCUAGAACGCCUGAUGUAGUUGGGGGUU
rnacentral:rRNA from 1 species